CAGAGAGGUGCUGUUUCACUGUCCAGACAGCAUCAGAUACCUGGUCUACACAUACUGAGACAGAGAGGUGCUGUUUCACUGUCCAGACAGCAUCAGAGAGAUGCUGUUUCACUGUCCAGACAGCAUCAGAUACCUGGUCUACACAUACUGAGACAGAGAGAUGCUGUUUCACUGUCCAGACAGCAUCAUAUACCUGGUCUACACAUACUGAGACAGAGAGAUGCUGUUUCACUGUCCAUUAAACUCUGUAACUGUUUUGAAGUCGCCAUCGGCCUCAUGGUGAAAUCCCUGAGGGGUUUCCUUCCUCUCCGUUAACUGAGUUAGGAGGGACGCCUCUAUCUUUGUAGUGACCGG
rnacentral:lncRNA from 1 species